rnacentral:tRNA from 23 species
GGGGGUGUAGUUUAGUGGCAGAACAACAGUCUCCAAAACUGUCUGUGUGGGUUCGAUUCCUUCCACCCCCGCCA